rnacentral:rRNA from 1 species
GACGAACGCUGGCGGCGUGCCUAAUACAUGCAAGUCGAACGAACGGACCUGCUUCUCCUUUCUCUUUUCUUGUCGUCGGAUGGCUGAGUAACGCGUAGCUCACCUACCUUUUGCCCUGGGAUAACUUCUAAACCCCGGAGCUUAUAUCUGAUUCUCUUUUGAACUGCAUGGUUCUACCUUUGAUGGCGGUCUUUCUGUCACUUAUUGGUGGUUCCGCGCUGGAUUAUCUAGUUGGUAGGGUAACGGCUUACUAAGGCAACGAUGCAUAGCCGACCUGAGAGGGUGAGCGGCCACACUGGAACUGAGACACGGUCCAGACUCAUACGGGAGGCAGCAGUAGGAAAGCGGCAGAAAGGGGAGAAAGCCGGACGGAGAAGCGCCGAGUGAGUGAUGAAGGUCUUCGGAUCGGAAAACUAUGUUAUUAGGGAAGAACAGAUGGGUAAGUAGCUGGGAAGAUCGUGACGGUACCGAAACAGAAAGCCACGGCUAACUACGUG